AGUAAAGGAUCGAAGAUUGCAAAUCUUUAAAUGAAUAAACUAUUCCCUUUAUUA
rnacentral:tRNA from 1 species